UACGUAGGGGGCUAGCGUUGUCCGGAAUCAUUGGGCGUAAAGCGCGUGUAGGCGGUCCGGUAAGUCCGCUGUGAAAGUCGGGGGCUCAACCCUCGGAUGCCGGUGGAUACUGUCGGGCUUGAGUACGGAAGAGGCGAGUGGAAUUCCUGGUGUAGCGGUGAAAUGCGCAGAUAUCAGGAGGAACACCUAUGGCGAAGGCAGCUCUCUGGUACAUGACUGACGCUGAGACGCGAAAGCGUGGGUAGCAAACAGG
rnacentral:rRNA from 1 species